rnacentral:rRNA from 1 species
UACGAAGGGGGCUAGCGUUGCUCGGAAUCACUGGGCGUAAAGGGCGCGUAGGCGGAUGGCACAGUCAGAUGUGAAAUUCCCGGGCUUAACCUGGGGGCUGCAUUUGAUACGUGUUGUCUUGAGUUCGGAAGAGGGUCGUGGAAUUCCCAGUGUAGAGGUGAAAUUCGUAGAUAUCAGGAAGAACACCAGUGGCGAAAGCGGCGACCUGGCCUGACAUUGACGCUCAUGCUCGAGAGCGUGGGGAGCAAACAGG